AUGACAGAUGACAAAGAUUCCCUGCCUAAGAUUAAGGACCUGGCAUUUCUCAAGAACCAUCUAGAGAUCUUGAGAUCUCAAGAACCAGCAGUGGCACGUGGAAGAUGAAGUCAACAGCAGGGCAGGCCAGGAUGGCUCGCUAUUGUCCUCCCCAUUCCUCAAGAGAUUCCUGGCUAGCUGUGGUGGCCACACUGAGGGCAUCAGCAGUAUUAGGCUUUGCCAUGAGCACCUGUGCUGGCAUCUAUGCAGCUCAGGGCUCAGGCUAUGCUGUGCCCAAUGUGGAGAUGGCAUUGAAAGACUAUUUGCAGUCACUAUGCAAGGGGCCCGACUAUCUCUAGAUGCUAUGGGGGAGGCAGAAUAAUGAUCUGGAGCCUGCAGGUAGAGACACUGUCUGGCUUCUCUGGCUGUCAUCCAUUUUUCUUCCAACUUUCAUGCCAACUUUAUCCUUGCCUCCCUUCCUGCAGACUGUGGACAGUGGCUUAUCAGCCUGCUCCCUGGAUUCCUUCUUCCCCCUCCCAACUCCAUCAGACUGGCCCCAAGACUGUGACUUCAAGGGCCACCAGCCCCUUACUCUUCAAGCCCUGACUAUGCAGUUGGCAGAUGAUUCUGAUCCUCAGUAUCCUCUCUGGCAAUGUCCCAUGGCUCCUACCUACUGGGAGCUGGCUCCAUAACUUGAUUUCCCCCAAAUAUGUUACAAUCCCAACUGCCCCUUGCUAACUACACAGGCCACCCAAAGUCUAGCAUGGGUAUGAAGGCAGUGGACCUUGAUGCUACUCAUGCCCAUGCCCCAUGCUGGCACUGUGCCAUGUGGACAGCCAGGUGCCCAUCCAGCCCUCCUCAGCUGUGGAGCUGAGUUGACCAAGCUACUGUUAGGUACCUUCUCCCUUCUAGUGGGCUGGCAAGCAUGGCCCUAGGGAGCUCCACUCUGACACCAAGAUGCUCCCUUCACACUAUCAGCCCUGCUCUAUGGCACUAACAACAGCCUAGUGAUCUAUCUUCAGCAUGACAUGAACCCCAGCACCUACCAGGUGCUGAGCAAUUGGAAGCAGGACCCUGUUCCAGUGUCUGCCUCCAGCACUGCUUCUCUGCACCUCAGGGGUUAGCACUGCUGCUGGCUGCGGGACCUGUUACCCAUCAGGUGGCCUUUAAGAACUUGGUACACCCUUCCCAGCCCCCUCCAGCAGCUGCUGCCAGCCCCAUGCCCCUACACAUGACUCACCUGGGCCUGCUCCUCCUCAUCAUGGACUUCCUCAUCUCAGGCCUGUCGUCACUGCAGAGCUGCUCAUGAGAAGACAGCAGCUGCCCCUGGCACUUUAGAACGUCUUUCUCUAUACCUUUGGUGUGCUCCUGAAUCUAGAGCUUCAUGCUGCUGGUGGCCCCAGCCCAGGCCUCCUGGAAGGCUUCUCAGCAUGGGCAGAACUUGUGGUGCUGAGUCAGGGAUAAAUGGACUGCU